AGUGAACGCUGGCGGCAGGCCUAAUACAUGCAAGUCGAACGGCAGCACAGCAGAGCUUGCUCUGUGGGUGGCGAGUGGCGGACGGGUGAGGAAUACAUGGGAAUCUGCCCAGUCGUGGGGGAUAACGUAGGGAAACUUACGCUAAUACCGCAUGCGCCCUUCGGGGGAAAGCCGGGGACCUUCGGGCCUGGCGCGAUUGGAUGAGUCGAUGUCGGAUUAGCUAGUUGGCGGGGUAAUGGCCCACCAAGGCGACGAUCCGUCGCUGGUCUGAGAGGAUGAUCAGCCACACUGGAACUGAGACACGGUCCAGACUCCUACGGGAGGCAGCAGUAGGGAAUAUUGGACAAUGGGCGCAAGCCUGAUCCAGCCAUGCCGCGUGAGUGAAGAAGGCCCUCGGGUUGUAAAGCUCUUUUGUCCGGAAAGAAAAGCAUCCAGUUAAUACCUGGGUGUCCUGACGGUACCGGAAGAAUAAGCACCGGCUAACUUCGUGCCAGCCGCCGCGGUAA
rnacentral:rRNA from 1 species